ACUCUUUUAAUUUAUUUAAAAUAUUGGUCUUGUAAACCAGAAAAGAAACCACAUCUUCAAUGAGUG
rnacentral:tRNA from 1 species